UCCCAUGAUGACCAAAGGUCUUUCAUACCUGGAAGUGUGCAGUGUGAAUUGGUCUGGGUGUACAUUGGUCCGCAGCCCAGCUGUGACAGGGUGUGCCAUCACUGUGAGUUACUCCUGACUUUCCAAAUCUGCCCAAGACAGUCAGAGACAUUGCCCAUGAAAUCAUCUGCCCUGGCUGCUCUCUCUAAAGGCCUAGAGCCAGUGAGAGCCUCAGAGGCCCACCCACAGGCAUGGCAGUCAGCCUGGGGGGCUCCCUGUGUCAGCUCAGCUCUCCAGGCUAAGUCCUAAGGUCUAAAUGACAGACUGCUGCCACCUGAUCCUUCUGAACACAUCCUGUUUUGCCAGAAGGCCCCCAAACCACAGACAUUCCAUGUCUCUGCACUUGGUGGUUUGUGGUGUUUGAAUCCCAUAGCCACGGGCUAUUCAUUUGUAUAUGUUUCACUGUGGCUUUCCGCUUGGUGACCUAGACUCUUACCCAGCAAGAUUCCUUAAGGUUUCAAAGCAGCUAGAGAGACCACUAGCAAGUUUCUCUUUGUUAAGGGCUUUUUAACCAUUCCUUCUUAACUGAAGUUGCCUGUUGGUUGAAGUGGGCAGCUUCUUAAUUUUCUGAAUUCGUCAGUGAUGAUUGCUCAGAUGUCUCUGCAAAUAUUUUUAGGUAUGUGUGAAUAAAUCAGGCCUAGUAUCACUACCCUCAGUGAAUUUUUUUUUUAAAUUAAAGCAGCCCUUAGAGGCUUAAGGUCUAAUUUAAUUGAAUAACUAGGUGUCAUAAUGAGGGACUCCAAUGAAAGAAUGAAAGAAUCUCUGAAGUGUUGAUUGGCUGUUUCUGGAACUUGGCCCAAGUUCCUACUACAGAUGUACCAUGUCCACUUUUCUCAGAAUUCAAGUUUCCUGGUUGGUUUUUUUCUCAUCCAAGAAUCUAAGAAGAGUCCAUAAAGAAGGCUGACAACAAAUGAAUGGAGAAAACACAAGCCCCAAAGCCUGCAGCACAGCCAGGGACCCUCUGUGAGCUGAGUCUGUGAGUUAGGGACCAGCUCUCUUCUCCAUGAAGCCUGCCCUGAUUCUCCCCAGAGGGAAGGCUGGCCCCCUUUUCCAAACUCCCACUACAUUUUGUCCAAACGAUGUUGGAAGCCACUGGGACUCCCCAAGAACAAUAUCCAAGUUGAAGACACCUUUUGCCACCCCCGCCAGUGGACAUGGAAGGAGUGCCGCACACACCCGCCCUGAAUGCAGAAGCAGCAGAGUUCACCCCAAGGAUUUCACCAAGCACUAGUGUUCCUUGUUUUGCUUGUUUUUGAUGCCUAAAGAGCCAACAAGUGACUAACAGACUGUUGUUCAUGGAUUGUCUAAAGUCAGCCUUCUAAUAGCACCCGAAGGGCUCCUCAUGCUGGUGCAACCCCGCUGCCACUGCUCCUGAGCCUAUGUUCCCUUCUCUCCACCAUGCACCUUCUGACAUCAUGACUCACUGGAGAACCAGGCCAGGAUCCCAACCACCCCGUGUCUCAGUGGGCCUGGGCGGGAGCCCUGUGCUGCCAGGAGGAGCAGAGAUAACAUUGAUUGUCCAGAAGCUCUACGAUGGAGACAGGUUGUCAUUGGAAGUCCAACAAGAGACAGAGGCAAGUGAGCUUUAUGGAGCACCUACUGUGUGCCAGGCCCCAUGCAACGGGCUUCUGUGGAGGCCUGCCCCUGCCAUCUUCACAACCCUCAGGUGAGCCAGCUUUAGCUUUACAUUUUAUAGAUGAAAAAAGCUGAGAGUUGAUGAGACUAAGAUACUAUUUGUGAGACCAAAAGAAAGAGGAAAAUCUCAUUUAAUCUCCAGGAUUUGUUAAAUUAGGCAAAGACAAGAAGGAACUUUUAUGUGAGGACAGACUGAAGUCCUGGCAUUUUCCAGCUCAGAAAGUCUGAGAAAGGAUAUGCUCAAGAACUAUCACAUGAAGGAAGAGCUCCUGCUUGACCGUGAGCUGGGCCGUCAAAUCCCACAUCCUCAUGGGGACUCGAUGCAGCCUGGAUAGCAGGGUGGUAAGACUCUCUGCUUCCUGAGCACAGGGUCUACCCUCCUCUUGUGAACUCUGUGUCCUUCACCAAGUCAUUGAACCUCCAUCUGCUUCCUCACCUGUUUAAGAAAGGAUGAUCGUAAUAGGACCCACAUCAUAGGGUUUUGUUAAGGGCUAAAAGAAAAAUAUGUAAAGCGCCUUGCCGAGUGCCUGGUACUACAGUAAGGAUUUGAUAAAUAUUAGCUGUUACAGUAAUUAGGAGUCAUAUUUUAUACCCUACAAGAGGCAUUUGUAGAUCAAAAGAAAUCUCACAUUACAGGGUGGGAAGUAAACUCACUAAACAUAGCCCCAAGGGUGGCACAAACGGAAAAUAUAAAUAGAAUAAAAAAGGGUUAGAUCACGAAUGGGUAACCUUUUCUCUACCAUAAGCCAGUGACACACAGGGGCAAAAAGAAAAUCCAUUUCUGGCCCCAUGUAAGUCAAAGAAGCCAUUAUAGGCUGUGAAGGGAAUUCAAUUAGUCACUGGUUGCCAUGCCAAUGCAAACAUCACCCUUCCACCUACUCUACCAUCAACACAUUUGAAUAAGUAACAAUGAUAAUAGCAUGCACUAAAAAUGCUAUUUUUAAAAAAGUUACAUGUGCUUCUUUCAAAAGUCUGGUUUUCAGAAAUAAUUGCUAUAGUCCAGAUGAGAAUUCACAUGGAAUCCCUAAAAUGGGUUGAGUAUCAUCAGAGAAGAGACAUCUGUAGAUUAUUAAGGGACUCUUAGGGUUUGGAGUUGAUUUUCUUGUGGGGGAGGGGAAAUUUUUUCAACAUUCCAAGCUUGAUCAAGCAACCCUUCAUGGUGUCAGAAAUUGAGCUCAGACAGUCCCUUGCUCAGCACUGCUCUCCUCACACCCUGAAGCCUGACCUGGAUCCCUGGUUUCAUUAUGCCUUCUUCAAGCUUUGCUUGAGUAUCUACAAUUUGGCAAUGUGUACCUAAAACUUAAAAAAAUACUUUGAUCUAAGAAUUUACUUAAAAAAAUACUUUGACCUCAGAAUCAAUCCUAAGAAAACCAAUACUGAUAUACAGAAUUUAUAGGAGCAAAAAUAAAAGUAAAGAACAGAAAUAACCAAAAUGUCCAAAUUAAAUUGUUAUACAUCCAUAUGCUAGAAUAUGAUGAGCUAUUAAAAAUGAGGCUGUCAUAAAAAUGAAUGAGAUCAUGUCCUUUGCAGGCACAUGGAUGGACCUGGAAG